rnacentral:lncRNA from 1 species
AUUCGCAUUAUCGGAAACAUUACCGUUUAGGCCCCACGGCCGUUUAAGUCCGCGAGGUACCGCGCAAAAAGUUCAAAAUUCAUUCACAGAAAAAUCCGACUUCUAAAGGGUUUAUCUUAAAAAGCGCCCUUUAGGAGCUGCUUUAUAUAAAGGCCUUUAACGUCAAUGAGUUUCAGAAAAAUCGGCCCGGUCAGUUUUCCACAACGACUUAAUCAAAUUUUUUUCGUCAAAAAACCGUUUUUUGCCACGCCCACCCCUUCGGGGUGGGCGUGGCGAAAAAUUUUUUUCACCGUUAUAUACUCUCAUCCUUCCUACAUAUAACGGUAAAAACCCGAAAGAAAAAUUCGCCAUAGAAAAAAAGUUAUUAGCGUUUUUGUGUCGAAAGUCGGAACCUCCGCCAAUUUUUGUCGGUGCGUUCUUACAAUACGCGAAGCGUAUUGUAACAAGUAGACGCUUCGCGUCUACUUUAGUCCGUGGGGACCAGUAGAAAUUUUAAAAUUUUUUGUCAGUACUACAAAAAAAAAAUCUCCAAAAUUAUCCAAGGAGUGCCCUAAACACGCAGUGGGGAAGAGACCUGCCGUAUCCUCAUAAGGCUCUGAGUUCAAACCUUAGCCUCGGCAUGGUGCUCUACCCAACUUUUUCUUUUUUUAGUACUUGGAAAACAUUAACGUCUAUAAUAAAUCCAAAAAUCUCAUCCAUUAUUCUCUAAGAGACCAACAUACAAAAUUGACGAAACACAAAGUCACGGUCUCACAACAUGUAAUUAAACGGGCUACACGUGUUUCGCUCUAGUUAGAGCAUCAUCAGGCCUUUAGAAGCCAUCCACACACUUAUGCUGUAACUGAUGAUGCUCUAACUAGAGCGAAACACGUGUAGCCCGUUUAAUUACAUGUUGUGAGACCGUGACUUUGUGUUUUUCUUUGUUUUUCGUCAAUCUAUAGUAAAUACAGAGAGAAAAGGAAAGGUCUUAUUAUAUAUUAUAAUCAAAAAUAAAUUUCAUUGAAAUAUUACUAACUUAUUUCUGGGUAUCAUGCUUCAGAGAACCAUGAUGUGUUACAAUACGCUCCGCUCUUUAAUUUUAGUUUAGUAGAAAAUAUUCUCAAAACCUACAUAUAUCAAAAUUAUGUCAGGGUUCUAAAAUGAAUCGGUAAUAAAAUCGUAAACCAGAUCAACAUUGGAAAUAAUUUAAAAAAUUUGCUUUGGUCCGAUUGAAAAAAGUACUAUACUACCAAAUAGUUACAUCUAUUCUGUAGCAAUAAAAGUUAUAAAAUUCUGUCUAUUAUUAAUUUUAAUAUUAUAAAGUGUAUCGUUUAACUCUUAGCCAUUAUUUAUAAUUUAAUUGUUAAUUAUGCCUAAAAAAACGAAUUAACAACUUUGGUAUUGUUUGGAAGGUAAACAGCUUAAUUCCUUUAUGUAAAGCCACCUUAACAUGUUUUUGCAUAAUUCUGACUCACGUUGGUUGCUAUCGGGCUUAAGCCAUAAAAAUCGAAGAAAAAAAGAAGAAGACGAAGAGACUUUCACUUGUCAUUUCAAUGUCACUUUCCGGCCCACAAGCAUAAACGCCACCGGCAACGGAAGUUCCCAAAAUCCAAACAAAUGUUGGAAGAUAUUUUUAAGUCUCCGCAUCUUUCUUACUUUCCUAUAUGAAAAUAAAAUGUAAGUAUCACAAUUACACACAUACAAGUUUUUUUUUUUAAUUCAGUUUCAUAAUUACCAAUUUUUAGUGAAUAAUCCUGAAAUUUAUGAAAAUACAUACAUUUUAAGGUUAUGUCAUAAUGUUUUGAUUGUUAUAUUUGAUUUUGUUUUUGUUAUUUUAGUGGACUACACCAACAAAGGUUAUGUGUUUUGCACCAGAUUGAAAGCAUCAUAGCGAAAAACGGACCUGUCAUAUCUUUAAAUUUUCAAAAGAGCCCCUGGAAAAAGAAAAAUGAAUAUCUUUGCCAAGGAAUAGGUACUAAGGUAUUUUUACUAAAUCUUUCAUUUUUUUUAAUACCUAAAUGAGGUAAUUUAUAAAUUUUGUUCCUUGUAGGCAAAUGGAUAAAAAACCUUCAGUCCAUGCAUUGGUAUGUAAUUGUUGACAAAAAUACAAUGAAUGGCCUCACUACUUUUCCACAUGCAAAGAGGUUAACCAAGGAGAAAUUAAAGAAAUUGUCAAAAACCUAGGUAAAUACAGAAUUGCUUAGUACAAACAUAUCUAUACCCAGUACAAGUUCGUCCACUUCUUUGAAGCAUGGUACUUCAAACAGAAACACUGUCAACAAUUUUGUAGAAGGUGAGCCGGUGUCAAAUUCCAGUAAGGGUCAUGAUUUCAAUUUUGCACCAACAGCAGAGCUAAAAUUCAUUUUGCCGCAAAAAACUGGAGGAUGUGAAAGAAAAAAGUGCAGAAGUUAAAAUUAAGUUUUUCAUAUGAGCACAUAAAAAAUAAUCAUGACAAAGUUCAGUUGUAUACAGGUUUGACAUGUAAUAAAUAUUUUUGUAAUCUUAUUAAGUUAAUUAGUUUUAUAUAUUAUUUAAAUAAUAAUUGUAUACUUCACAUAGAAUAUGCAGAAAUUAUAUGUACAUAUAUAAAUUUUUUUUAUUAAGAUAAGGACAACAUGUAUUAAAGCAUAACACAUAAUAUAAACACACACGUAAUAUCUUCAUUAAAAAUUAUGAUUGUAUGUUAUGUAGCAUUAGAGCCUAAAAACAUUAAGGAGAAUAAAGGUCGUUAUUGGCAAAUGACAA